AUGGAUGUGGAAUCUCAGAGGAGCGCACGCCCCCGUGCACGGUGCCUGGACGUUUUCUUGGUCGGUUCUGUCGUUUUGCUCUUCCUGGCGGUGGCGACAGUUGUUGUCAUGGGAACUUUGGCUCUUGUGGAGCUACGGUCAGAGAUCGGGGUUCAACCUUAUGUUGUGGAUUUGCAAGGUACAUCGGAGACGCACCAUGGCGUGCCCCGUCCCAAGCCCGCGUACAAGAUGCAGAACUUGGCCUACGUGCAGCUCACCUCCGCCACGAUGGAGAACAGCACAAUGUCCUGGUCCCAGGUCGAACAUGGACAGGAGUCCUCUGUUGGAGAUCUGUACAAAUACAACCUUCAGCAACAUACAUUACAAACCAAGCAGGAUGGCUUCUACUUCCUGUACCUGGACCUCCAGCUCACCUGUACCGCCAAAUGUGGGCGGGGCAUCCUCGUCGUCCAGCUUGCAAGUCACGGUGACGAAAAGCUCACCUGCCAGGUGGAGCUCCCAGAGUGGUCAGAGUCAAACCCUGUGACAACGGUAACCAGGAAGUGCUGGAAGGUGACACGACUGGACUCAAAGAGCCGGUUGAUGGGCCGUAUGGUAGUGCCGAAAGCGCAGAACACGUUCUGGAAACUGGACGGGAACGGAUCAGGAAUGGGAGUUUUCUUAGUGGCUUGAUAUGGGCCACGUUCAGUACGGUCAACUUUGUGAAACUUUGCAGAUCGAGAUGCCGUGAACAGAGCUGACGCUAUUCCUUCGGUAAGAUGUCGCGGAGGCAGAACGUUCUACAUUGCUACUAUCUGAACAUUCCCGAAACGUUGCGUCCUACUGAACGCACCCCUGGGAUGGAAGUUAGGGCUCCGCCACAGACAAAGGGAAGGAGACGAGAAAAGGAAGCGAGCCAAGGGUACUGAGAUGCACCCCAUCUAGGAGAACUUGCAGACAGAGAGUCGUCCCACCAUACACUGUUUGUGGACUUUGACCACUGUCGCUCAGGGCAUCUCCAUGGAAACAAUUUAAACUAAACAAUUCAGGCCUAUUUAUAUGGAUAUUUAUUGAAUGUAUAUAUAUUUAAUGUAUAAACAUGAUGUGUAUUUAUAUAUUUGUCCUCAGGGUUACAAUGUGUUGUUUAUUGUCAUGUGUAGAUGCCACUACGUUGGUGCUGGUGUGUUUGAGGGGAGAAUUGUGAAGUGUGUGUGGGGGGGGGGGGGGGCAGACUUGUGCCAUACACAUGAUAUACUGUGUAUAUACAUGGAUACAUGAUAUCAUUGAUUUGAUAAGCCUGAUUACCGUUGCUUGGCAACCACAGUAACCUCCUCAGAGUCUUCAGGGUUGUGUUCUGUUCUGGAACAACAACAACAAAAUGGACUCUUAGAUUUUCGUAAAGGGAGAAACUCAGCGAUACGUCAUAGGUGCAGAAUGUUUUCAGCCUGUUGGGUUCUCCGCUGUUCCCGUGGCAACCACAUUGUGACCACAGCGUGAAGCCAACCCGUAUACAGAUACUGUGUGAGACUGAAGACGUGCAUCUCCCUCAGCUCAAUACACGCCCGUGUUGCUCGUGGCAACAUCAUUUGGCUGAGUCUAACUCUGAACAUUGUUUCCUACGAUAUGAUUGGCUGUUGGCCGGCCGGCCAGCCUCUGAGGUACUGUACUCACUGAGUGAGAGAAUGAAUGAGCUUAGUCACACAGUUCAGCCGGCAUCCCAAAUGGCACCGUCAUUCCAUAUAUAGUGCCCUACCCUUGACUAGAGUCUAUAGGGUAGUAGUGCACUAUAUAGGAGCAGGAUGCCAUUUGGAACGGAGGCAUGGGCUUCCAAUCCACUGUGGGCGUGUCCACGGAGGCAUGGGCUUCCAAUCCACUGUGGGCGUGUCCACGGAGGCAUGGGCUUCCAAUCCACUGUGGGCGUGUCCACGGAGGCAUGGGCUUCCAAUCCACUGUGGGCGUGUCCACGGAGGCAUGGGCUUCCAAUCCACUGUGGGCGUGUCCACGGUGGCAUGGGCUUCCAAUCCACUGUGGGCGUGUCCACGGAGGCAUGGGCUUCCAAUCCACUGUGGGCGUGUCCACAGCUCAUGUCAGGAGGAACUAUGUGACAUCAUCAUAUUUGUGGACGACAUGAUUUCACUUGCACAGGUCACUAUGACCAAUUGAUGAAUGUUUUUAUUUAUAAAUGAGGUGUUUACUAUGUGUUAUGUAUUAUUUAUGUUUAAUUGACUGUGUUUAUGCUGAACUAGGUAAUAAACCUGGAUAUACACAAGCUCUUCUGUGUGUGUGUGUGUGUGUGUGUGUGUGUGUGUGUGUGUGUGUGUGUGUGUGUGUGUGUGUGUGUGUGUGUGUGUUUGUGUGUGUGUGUGUGUGUGUGUGUGUGUGUGUGUGUGUGUGUGUGUGUGUGUGUGUGUGUGUGUGUGUGUGUGUGUGUGUGUGUGUGUGUGUGUGUGUGUGUGUGUGUGUGUGUGUGUGUGUGUGUGUGUGUGUGGAAGAUGGA
ensembl:lncRNA